rnacentral:rRNA from 1 species
CAGCAGCCGCGGUAAAACGGAGGGUGCAAGCGUUAAUCGGAAUUACUGGGCGUAAAGCGCACGCAGGCGGUCUGACAAGUCAGAUGUGAAAUCCCCGGGCUUAACCUGGGAACUGCAUUUGAAACUGUCAGGCUGGAGUCUUGUAGAGGGGGGUGGAAUUCCAGGUGUAGCGGUGAAAUGCGUAGAGAUCUGGAGGAAUACCGGUGGCGAAGGCGGCCCCCUGGACAAAGACUGACGCUCAGGUGCGAAAGCGUGGGGAGCAAACAGGAUUAGAUACCCGCGUAGUCCCUGUCUCUUAUAA